rnacentral:rRNA from 1 species
UGCGAAGGGGGCUAGCGUUGCUCGGAAUCACUGGGCGUAAAGCGCACGUAGGCGGCUUUUUAAGUCAGGGGUGAAUCCUGGAGCUCAACUCCAGAACUGCCUUUGAUACUGAAGAGCUCGAGUCCGGAAGAGGUGAGUGGAACUGCGAGUGUAGAGGUGAAAUUCGUAGAUAUUCGCAAGAACACCAGUGGCGAAGGCGACUUACUGGACACAUAUUGACGCUGAGGUGCGAAAGCGUGGGGAGCAAACAGG